GUGAAUCAUCGAAUCUUUGAACGCAAAUUGCACUCCCUGGUAUUCCGGAGAGUAUGCCUGCUUGAGGGUCAGUUUAAAUAAAAAUCUUUGUUUUUGCUUCCUUUCGUGGUCACGCACCGUAUUUGGGUCGUCUUUCCUUUGCGUACGCGACCUGACAUUUUGCAUGAUUUUUUUCGAACGUAUUUAAAUGAUUUUACGUACGUUUGCGAUAUCAAAUACUAGGUUUUUCCAUCCUCAUGAUUCGCGCCUAUAAUUUUUCAUC
rnacentral:misc_RNA from 1 species